UAUCUACUCCUUCCGUUCGGAAUUACUUGUCGCAGAAAUGGAUGUAUCUAGAUGUAUUUUAGUUCUAGAUAUAUUCAUUUCCGAGACAAGUAAUUCCGAAUGGAGGGAGUAUAAC
rnacentral:pre_miRNA from 1 species